CCUACGGGAGGCUGCAGUGGGGAAUAUUGGACAAUGGGGGCAACCCUGAUCCAGCCAUGCCGCGUGUGUGAAGAAGGCCCUCGGGUUGUAAAGCACUUUCAGUGAGGAAGAACGCCUGGUGGUUAAUACCCAUCAGGAAAGACAUCACUCACAGAAGAAGCACCGGCUAACUCCGUGCCAGCAGCCGCGGUAAUACGGAGGGUGCGAGCGUUAAUCGGAAUUACUGGGCGUAAAGCGCGCGUAGGUGGCUUGAUAAGCCGGUUGUGAAAGCCCCGGGCUCAACCUGGGAACGGCAUCCGGAACUGUCAAGCUAGAGUGCAGGAGAGGAAGGUAGAAGUCCCGGUGUAGCGGUGAAAUGCGUAGAGAUCGGGAGGAAUACCAGUGGCGAAGGCGGCCUUCUGGACUGACACUGACACUGAGGUGCGAAAGCGUGGGUAGCAAACGGGAUUAGAUACCCGAGUAGUC
rnacentral:rRNA from 1 species